GCCUUCUUAGCUCAGCGGUAGUAGCGUCUGCCUCGUACUCUACUCCAGGGUAGCAGAAGGUCGGGUGUUCAAUCCACCCAGAAGGCA